UGGGACGACGUCAAGUCAGCAUGACCUUUAUAUCCAGGGCUACACACACGCUACAAUGGUCAGUACAAUGGGUUGGCCAAGCCGCGAGGCGGAGCCAAUCCUAAAAAGACUGGCCUCAGUUCUAGAUUGCAGUCUGAAACUCGACUGCAUGAAGUCGGAGUUGCUAGUAAACGCAGGUCAGCUAUACUGCGUUGAAUACGUUCCCGGGGCCGUU
rnacentral:rRNA from 1 species